rnacentral:lncRNA from 1 species
CCCUCUGGCCUCUGAUACUCCGCGCUCCGGAGUGUGCCGCCGGAUCCUCGCUCCAACCUCGUCGCGUCCUAGCCCCCCGGGAUAGACCGGGCCGGCCCACAAACGGUGUGCCCGCACCCCGACUCCUGCUCCAUGCUUUUGGCAGUCAUGGGAGCGGGGGGUUGUGUAUGGGACAGUGGGCAACUCGCUGCAAAGCCAACCGUGUGCUCCCCCGCCGCGCCCGUGAGCUUCACGCCUCGGACAGCUCCUGGUGCACUUUCCCGCUCUUCCUGUCAGGAGGUGGUGCCCUCUGGGUACCAGGCCGCUCGUCCCGGGCCAAUCGCAAAGCGCUUAGAGCCGAAUGGGGCGGGACAGAGGCAAGAAAGGGUCGUCCCAAUUGGAGCGUUCGAAAGGUUCUGGGCAGAGGCGGGGAAGCGGCGAGUGGGGGCCUCGCCCCGCCUGCGGUCGCCAUGGUAACCGAGAGGGCGCAGCUCAGCGUUGGCGCCAGCACCGGGGUCUUGUGCUGUCCCUCAAUGGGUGACCAGUUAAGGUGGGAACCUGUGGUCUCACAUACUUGAAGUCUGAGCUGAGUGGACCUGACUGCCAUAGACUUUCCAUUGAAAGGGGAAAUGUGUCAGAGAGAAGCGAGUCUGGGAGGAGGGAAAGUGCCUUCAGUCCAGGACUAAUUUCAAGGUUUACAACACUUUACACACUCUGCAACUCCUGAUAAUCCAGGGACUACUCCUUUGGCAGCGUUUGCUAUUCGAUGCCUCCAGAUGUACUGAAGCUGCAAAAACGAGCUCUUCAUUACAAAGAUACGUUUGUUUAGGAAGAGACUGGAUUUCACUUGUCAACUUACCCCAUCACCACGAGUCAUUUAAUGUUGGUAACGCCAGCCACGAUUUUUCGUAUCUAUAACACCCCUUCUUCCAUUGAAUUCUACCUACAAAUAACUGAAGGCUCACAUUAUUUUGGAAUAUGGACCUCCGCCUCUUGUGGAGACUUGAGAUUGCUCUUAAGCUGAUUUCCCAAACAGGGGCUGCAAUGUGUGUUCCCGAUUUUAGAUUCAUUGAGCUCACCCUAGAUGAGUCCUUUGGUUCGGUGGUUCGGAAAAGUCUCUUUGUUCCUUCUCCAAACUCAGUAAGCUGUCUUACCUGAAACCAAAAAUAGGGGUAUGAGGAUAUGAAAAAUGGCUCUUACUCUGCAGGGUUUAAUGUAGGACAAGCAGUUCUUUAAAUGCCAGAUGGAUUCUUGGAAUGAAGCAGGCUACUCGGUUCCAGGUUCUUUCCUUCAUAUGUUGUGUGUACUUUUAAAUACUCCCCACUGCAAAGCUAAUAGCUAAGCUUACAGUUAGGCAAGCUAAAAUCCUUACAAACUGCACAGCUGCUGAGGAGGGAGUUCCAAAAAAUCCACUCUGCUUACUUACCUCCAAAGAAGAACCCCCUUCAUGUUCAUUAAUAUUCUCUGCUCUUCUAUACCCCAUUGAUAUGUCAAGUUUCCAAUUCUUCUUUGAAGCCCCCAUUAUGGGUUACUUAUAAUCGUCAUUGAUUGGGUUUUUUCUUUAUUCUUAAUUUGUUUUUUAAAGCUGUCACCAAAUUCUUAAGCAUUUUUGCCAAAAGGCGCAGGAGCAAGCGGUCAACCUUUCAUAAUUCUCCAACGCUGAGGAUGCAAAACCACAGAAUUCUAACUGAAAGAUGCCUUAAAUUCUAAGAUUCCUUCCAGCUGUAAAAUUCAAUAAUCCUGUGACUCACUAUUAGGACUCCUCUCUGCCCUCCUUCUAGACUCAUAAUCUUGACUAAUCAGUCAUGAGGAUGAGGCUAAUUAGCAAUGGGGAUUUAUGGUUAUUUCUAGCCCACUCCGAACAAUGAGUUAUGUAAGCAAAGCAACAUAUAUAAAAAUGUAAAUAGGCCGGUGGCUCAUGCCUGUAAUCUCAGAACUUUGGGAGGCCGAGGCAGGUGGAUCACAAGGUCAGGAGUUGAGACCAGCCUGGCCAACAUGGUGAAACCCCAUCUCUACUAAAAAUACAAAAAAUUAGCUGGGCUUGGUGGCAGGCGCCUGUAAUCCCAGCUACUCAGGAGGCUGAGGCAGGAGAAUCACUUGUACCCAGGAGGUGGAGGUUGCGGUGAACUGAGAUUGUGCCACUCCCCUCCAGCCUGGGCGACAGAGUGAGACUUCUUUUCAAAAAAAAAAAAAAAAAGUAAAUAAAGAAACACUUAAGCAAAUAAAGGCAAUUGGGAACUAUGGGCUGUGUAAACACACUGGAACAUAAAAACAUAAAUUAGAAUUAAGAAAACAGUUAGGCAAAUGCCAGCAAUUAGGAAUAAAACAACUUGUUAAAUGUCUAACACCCACAGUUAUUUUAUGGUACACUCCUCUACACCCAUGGUCAUUCAGUGAUGUGGAAACUUGAUACCAUAAUUCUGCCUUAAGUGAUUGAAUUAGACUGACCUUCUGCUUGGGAGGCUUCUCUUUUUGUUGUUAUCAGUAUGAGUUGCAGUAGAAGCCUGAGGACCCUAGCAAGGAUUCCUUCACAGGCUCAUUGACAACUGCCGUUGAUUUAAAGCAUAACUUUUUUAGACUGGUUUCCAAGCCUCAAUAUAACUGUCAACUAAUUGCAGAUGUUCCAGGAUCUCUUGGUGCUCGUGCCAGUGUCUCAUGUAGAAUGUUGCGUGAUCUCUGCUCAAGAAUCUGAGUCACAAGGUUGAUGCCUUCACAGAUGACAGAACAGAAGUUCCCUGAGUACCCGAGUCUGUCUUUGCUGUUUCUAAGGUAGUGAUUAUUAAAAUGUCAAGGGAAAUGAAAUUGACUUUUGGUGAGCAGACAUUCAUGUAAAGUUAACAGUGACAAAGUGGUGAAAACCAAGCAGAUGUUCCUUCAUGGCCAUCCCUUUCCAUGAGUUUAUAUUAACAUCACCAUUGCCUCUGUCAUCAAUAGGGUGACUAUCACAGCAGAUGCCAUUAUUGAGCACUUUCUUUGGGGGUACACUAUCCUCUGUGUUCCCUUGCUUCAUCUUAUUACAGUCUCACAACAGCCUGCUUGGGAUUGUUAUUAAAUAAGAAAUAGAAUGAGAGAGAGUAAGAAAUUUCCACAAGACCACAAAGCCAGUAAGUACUAGAGCUUGAAUUCAAAUAUUGAUCUAUGUGGCUGCAAAGACUACCGUAUAAAACACUGUGCAAAAAAGUAAUUUAGCCAGGCUGGUGACAUGCAACUGUAGUUCCAGCUACUUUAGAGGCAGAAACAGGAGAAUCACUUGAGUGCAGUAGUUUGAGGCUGCAGUAUGCUAUGAUCACACUUGUGAAUAGCCACUGCACUCUAGCUUGAGCAAAGUAGUGCUACCAUUUCUCCUAAAAUUUUUUUAAAAGUUAUUUAAGAUUAUGAAGUAAAAAUCACAAGACCUUAACAGAUAAACUGAAAAAUUAAUGAAAAUAAGUAACUAGGUGCUUAAUAAAGAGAGAAUAAACAGCUAUAUUAGAGGAAUCCAGGUCUCAAGGCAGGGGAGGAGGGAAAUUAAGGACAGUCAGACCAUUCUUCAAAGCCACAUUGGGUCCCACCUCUCCGAAGCUUUUCUGUGAUGCCUGUCUUCUCUGAUCUUUGUCUCCUCUAAACUCCCUCAGAAGAUUGCAGUGAGAUCGCCUCAUUACACUCCAGCCUGGGCAACAGAGUGAGACUCUGUCUCAUAAAUAAAUAAAUAAAUAAAUAAAUAAAUAAAUAAACUCCCUCAGUAUAUGUUGCCUGUAAUACAUAACCUACUACCAUACUAGAUAGUCUUGCACUGUUUGUUCUCCAUCCACCUCUGUUAGUUUCCUCAUCUAGGUCAUAAAAAUGUCAAGGGCAAGGUGUCGUAAGAUGUGACUAUAAUAUGACAGAUUUGAUUUUUUUUUAAAUCAUAGACAUCUAAGAAAAGGUAACACUCUCCAACUUGUCACUUUGGGGAAACUGACUAAAUGCUUCUUUUCAAAAUGUAUCAUUGCUCCAUUGCUUUAGGAAUGACUAUCUAUUUGUUUAUUUGUUUGUUCAUUGAUUUGUUUCUCUAGAGAGUGGGACUUGCUCUGUCACCCAGGCUGGAGUACAGUGGCGCGAUCAUAGCUCACUGUAACUUUGAAUUCCUGGGCAAUCCUCCUGCCUCAGGGCUCCUGAGUAGCUGAGACUGCAGGUGCACACCACUACACCCAGCUAAUUUUUUGUAUUUUUUUUGUAUGGAUGAGGUCUCGCUAUGGUGCUCAGGCUGCGUUCAAACUCCUGGCCUCAAGGGAUCAUCCCACCUCAGCAUCUCGAAGUACUGGGAUUACAGGCAUGAGCCACUGCACCCAGACAGGAAUGACUCUUUAGAAUUGGUCUUUACAGUUGAUAGCACAUGUGACAUAUGACCAACGUUUAUCUUCUAAGGAUGGAUUUGAUUGAGUUACCAAAGAUUUAGUGGGAUAACAGUCCAUCCUUCUAAAGUGAUGCCUUUAAAAGAGAAUAUUUAUCAGAAUGUAUAAUUUCUAGAAAAAUUUGGUAGAAUGCUCCCUCUCUUAUGUCCCUUCAUAGCACCCAGUACGGUGCAGUUUCAUACAGAAUAGACAGUUGGGGCCGACAUGACCAGUUGUUGGCCUGCCAUCCAUUGGCUUACUUCCUUCUACACCAAUAGAAGCCUGAUUUUAUUCUGAAGACAAUGUGCUCAGUCCCAAUCAAGGUCUAAAACAAGUAUGAGCAUCCUGUCCCCUGCCUUCUGAGCCUGUCAGGAGGAGGGGUGACCUUGCUAAUUUUUUAAAAAAGGGACAGAUAGGCCAGGCGUGCUGGCUCAUGCCUGUAAUCCCAGCAAUUUGGCCACUGCACUCCAGCCUGGGCAAAGAACGAGACCCUGUCUCAGAAAAAGAAAAAAAAGGGGACAGACAUGGCUCUUCUCUCCUUCAUUUUCCUGGCUCUUUCCAUCUUUGAAAGUAGUCCUGAAUCUGGAGUGCUCAUAGCAGCC